rnacentral:rRNA from 1 species
AUAUUGGUCAAUGGGCGCAAGCCUGAACCAGCCAUGCCGCGUGCAGGAAGACGGCCCUAUGGGUUGUAAACUGCUUUUAUUCGGGAAUAAACCUCUUUACGUGUAAGGAGCUGAAUGUACCGAAGGAAUAAGGAUCGGCUAACUCCGUGCCAGCAGCCGCGGUAAUACGGAGGAUCCAAGCGUUAUCCGGAUUUAUUGGGUUUAAAGGGUGCGUAGGCGGCUUAUUAAGUCAGGGGUGAAAGACGGUGGCUCAACCAUCGCAGUGCCUUUGAUACUGAUGAGCUUGAAUGAACUUGAGGUAGGCGGAAUGUGACAAGUAGCGGUGAAAUGCAUAGAUAUGUCACAGAACACCAAUUGCGAAGGCAGCUUACUAAAGUUUAAUUGACGCUGAGGCACGAAAGCGUGGGGAUCAAACAGG